rnacentral:tRNA from 1 species
GGGAAUGUAGCUAAGUAGAAUGCUUACUUUGCAAAGGUGAGGUCCUGGGUUCAAACCCCAGCACCCCA